rnacentral:rRNA from 1 species
CCUACGGGAGGCAGCAGUCGAGAAUCAUUCACAAUGGGGGAAACCCUGAUGGUGCGACGCCGCGUGGGGGAAUGAAGGUCUUCGGAUUGUAAACCCCUGUCAUGUGGGAGCAAAUUAAAAAGAUAGUACCACAAGAGGAAGAGACGGCUAACUCUGUGCCAGCAGCCGCGGUAAUACAGAGGUCUCAAGCGUUGUUCGGAAUCACUGGGCGUAAAGCGUGCGUAGGCUGUUUCGUAAGUCGUGUGUGAAAGGCGCGGGCUCAACCCGCGGACGGCACAUGAUACUGCGGGACUAGAGUGAUGGAGAGGGAACCGGAAUUCUCGGUGUAGCAGUGAAAUGCGUAGAUAUCGAGAGGAACACUCGUGGCGAAGGCGGGUUCCUGGACAUUAACUGACGCUGAGGCACGAAGGCCAGGGGAGCGAAAGGGAUUAGAUACCCGUGUAGUC